rnacentral:rRNA from 1 species
UCAGGCCUAACACAUGCAAGUCGAGCGGGGUUUUCGGACCUAGCGGCGGACGGGUGAGUAAUGCGUAGGAAGCUACCCGAUAGAGGGGGAUACCAGUUGGAAACGACUGUUAAUACCGCAUAAUGUCUACGGACCAAAGUGUGGGACCUUCGGGCCACAUGCUAUCGGAUGCGCCUACGUGGGAUUAGCUAGUUGGUGAGGUAAUGGCUCACCAAGGCGACGAUCCCUAGCUGGUUUGAGAGGAUGAUCAGCCACACUGGAACUGAGACACGGUCCAGACUCCUACGGGAGGCAGCAGUGGGGGAUAUUGGACAAUGGGCGCAAGCCUGAUCCAAAAGUGCCGCGUGUGUGAAGAAGGCCUUCGGG